GACUAUUAAACUUGUGUAAAAUAAAUAUUUCAAUCGUAACUAUUCUUUAAAAGUGGGUCAACAUUGCGUGAGGAGCAAGUUGUUAAAAAUGAAUGAGAAGAAAUUAGUGCAAAACUUCAAAAGCUACAUCAACGUGUCGUCGAGCAAAGAAGAAAAGAAUGGCACUAUUCAAGAGGUGAAACCGAAAUUAUUGACAGGAGAGUUGGUGACUGGUGUAGCUCAUAAUGUGGUGAUGCUGACUCCGCUUAGCGAGAGGGAUCAUGGUCGCUUGGGAUCCGUCUUCGUUACAAACUACAAACUUUCAUUCGUACCUUUGGAACGAUCUCAACAGGAUGAAUGCAGUCAGCGGAACCACCUCCUCGGACCUCACGAUGUGCCUUUAUUGGCUGUGGGUGCAGUGUGGCUCACCGAUGGCGGCCCGGUGCGGCGGCGAAGGCUCAUGCCCUGCGGCGAUAUGCCCGGAAAGGUUAAAGGGCUCCAGAUAAUAUGUAAGAAUAUGAAAGUAAUAACGUUUAGUUUCACGACCGCCCCAAUGCACAGCGGCAGGAAGAUUGCCCUAUCCCUAAUGCACCACGCGUUCCCGAAGCGGCACCAUCUAUUGUUCGCCUUCGAAUACCAUGAGCCGUAUUAUCCGACUUUGCCGUCCGAACUGAACAUGUUCCAAAGGCCGGGCGACUGGAAGCGUGAACUGGAACGAUGCGAAUGUCCCCACUGGCGGAUAACCUGCAUCAACGGCACGUCGGACGCCUUCAUGCUGACCGCCGGUGAAACGCUGAUAGUUCCGAAUUCGGUCCUGGAUUACAACCUGGUGGAGUCUGCGCGACACUUCAGGUCGGGUCGCGUGCCGGUGUGGGUGUGGGGCAGGCCGGAGGGCGCGGCGCUGCUGAGGAGCGGGGAGCUACUCCCCACAGAGCAGGCACCCACCGCCGAAAGCGUCUUAUUAGAACAGAUCCGACGUUCCCAUCCAAAGCUGACACCUCCGCAAGUCCUAUAUCUGUGCGGGAACAGCUUCACCACUACUGGUUCGAACGCUAACAUUCUACCUCCGCUCAGCAGUCUGCAGGCGUCUUUCAAGAAACUGAUGGAUCUCUGUACCCCUACGAAGUUGUCAGGGUUUUGGAGACGCUCACCAAGUAAGUCGCGAUGGGAAACUUUAAAACGAUUCUAUCGUCACGACAUAAACGUGUUCUGGGUGCAGGACGCGCAGUACCACUCGGUGCUGGAGUCCAGCAAGUGGCUGCGGCACGUAGCCACGUGCCUGGCGCUGGCGGACGAGGCGGCACACCACCUGGCCCGCAACGUCACCGUCGUGCUGCAGGAAGGCGAGGGUGUGGACUACAGCGCGGUGGUGUCGAGCCUGACGCAGCUGCUGCUGGAGCCGCACUGGCGCACGCUGGUCGGCUUCCAGUCGCUCGUGCAGAAGGAGUGGCUGGCGCUCGGACACCCCUUCUGCGACCGACUUCCAUGUAGGUACGGCCUCCCCAGUCCCGGCAACCCCAAGGAGACCCGGGAGCAGAGCCCGGGCCAGGUGGCGCCGGUGUUCCUGCUGUUCCUGGACUGCACGUGGCAGCUCACGCGGCAGUUCCCGGCCAGCUUCCAGUUCACGGAGACCUACCUCACCACGCUGUGGGACUGCACGCACAACCAGAUAUUCGACACCUUCCUGUUCAACUGUUCCCGGGACAGGGAACUUGCCUAUACGAAUAAGAAAAACCAGCAGAGCUUCGUCCCGGUGUGGGAUUGGGGGGAGCAGUUCUCGGAGCAAGACAAGGCCCUGUUCUACAACCCGCUCUACGCGAUGUCGGCCAAGCCUUCCAACGUCACUCCAAACAGAUCCUGUGAGUGUGACGUUAAUCUAUACCAGUACCUCAAUACCACCAGUGCUACGCGACCCCUGACGUGCUUACAGUACUAUGGCAUGCCCGUGGUAUCAAUUUCUGGUUAUAACGUUUUACUGGAUUUCCUCGAAUAAUUCAAGGUAUCUUUUGUAUUUCAAUACUUACAACUUUUCACUAUGAUCAGCAAGUCUAUGUUGUACCAUAAAUGUGGUGACGUCACAGUCCAAACAAACACGCAUUAAUUACGUACAAACAUGACGCACCCGCCGCGGACUUGACCACUACUUACGUAUUACUGGCCUCGUAGUUAUUAGCGAUUCAAAUAUGACGGUAUUUUGUCACAUAAAAGUGUCGACCGAUUUGCUCUGUAACUAAACUUCGGCCAACCAGACGAGAUAAUAGGUGACUAGGUAGACUCACUGGUGGUAGGACCUCUUGUGAGUCCGCACGGGUAGGUACUACCAUCCCGCCUAUUUCUGCCGUGAAGCAGUAAUGCGUUUCGGUUUGAAGGGUGGGGCAGCCAUUGUAACUAUACUGAGACCUUAGAACUUAUACUCAAGGUGGGUGGCGCAUUUACAUUGUAGAUGUCUAUGGGCUCCAGUAACCACUUAACACCAGGUGGGCGGUGAGCUCGUCCACCCAUCUAAGCAAUUAAAAAAAAAAAAAAACCUAAACAAGCGGACCGUUACUGAGUUACAUUGCGAUAGCGAGGGAUUAUUAUCUCUGUCCUUAUCACUCGUACGCGCAGUUAUGGCGUCAGUUGGUCGACAACAGCUGCCGUUGUGUGUUUCGUGGUACAGGAAAGCACUGAGUACCGCAGUUGUCAACAUUUGGUCCGCCAUUUUGUGAACAAGUUCAUUCCUGUUUGGAUUGCGUUCGAAGUGAUACAUAUUUUUUCGUUUCCGUAUUUACUUGGUUUGUUGUUGUUAUUAUACCGUUUUUGUUAGUUUUAUUUUUGAUUUUUGCUGUUAUUGUGAGUACUUAGUUGUUGAUUUUAAUUAUGGAAUCACAGACUGGCGGCUCUAAAAUGAAUUCACCACGCAAAAAGCGUCAAAAGGUAAGUAAAUUUAUUAAUUUGUACUUGAACCACUACCAUAAUUUUGAUUUUUAAAGUUCCGUACCAAAAAAGAUUCUUUUUUAUAUAAUAAGUAAUAAGAAAAUAGUCUAAAAUUUACCAUUCCUCACCAUUUUUAUUUUAUUUACAGCGGACGUAUUUUACAUCGAAUGAAAAAGGAAUGGUCCGACGAAUCAUAUUUGUCUAGUACAGAUGACAGCGAAUAAAAUUCGAACUUUGUAAUAAUUUAUUUAAAUAAAAAUGUUUUUUACUCCUGAAACUUUAUUUACAUUUUUUAUCUCGUCUGGUUGGCCUUACUUUAGUUAAGAGAAUAUCAAUAUCGAUGCAGUGAGUUGGGUCCUUAAGAUUUAUCUAAUACGUCAACAUUGUAAAGAAAACGUCAGGGAUUUGUGUCGAUUUAAAAAUUUAACAGGACCUAAAGGAAAAUUAAGUUCUGUUUAUCGAUACGCUCAUCACUCGAAGUGCCGACCGAUUUAUCUCUUGUUGAUUUGUUUGAUUCGUCACUGUCUUAGUAAUGCUUCUGAGGGAUAAUUGAAAAAUUUUCUCGUAACAUUAAAAUAUUCACAAAACUGUUUUUUAUAGGUUAUGUGGGUGGACGAGCUUACAGCCCACCCGGUGUUAAGUGGUUACUGGAUCCCAUAGAUAUCUACAACGUUAAUGCGCCACGCACCUUGAGGUAUGAGUUCUAAGGUCUCAAUAUAGUAACAACGGCUGCCCCGCCCUUCGAACCGAAACGCAUUAUAGUCCAGGAUCCACCGCCCAUUUUUGCACUUGAUUACUAUCAAGCUAAUUUUCCGUGAGUAGCUUUAUUUUGAUGAGACGCCCAAUAAUUUCCUAUACGAAACUCUCGAUUGUGGUAGCUAACAGAGGUAGCGAGGAUAAAAUAUGUUGAUUUGAUGAUUCUCAAAUAUUUAUUACUAACUGAAUUUUUUUUUGUUAAAUCUCAAGACAAUUAUCUAAAUUAUUCGAAAAAAUAUUUGUCCUACAAAAUCUAUGGUUUGAUCAAAGAGUCCCCUCUUUCCGACAUGUAUCGAUAACAAGGUCAUCAUAAAUGAUUACUAACCAGCUGAUUUUUUUUUUUUUACUUAGUUAAUAUUUAUGUAAUUUAACAGACAUAUUGUCCUACAAAUUGCGCGGUACGUUAUCCCGGUCCUACGCUCAGAAAUUGUUAAUACCACAAGACCAUUUUUCUCAUUACUAACUGUAGGACAAAAAUAUCAUAUAAUAGGUUAGUGUGUUCUCUGCCCAAAUGAAACAACGUCCUACAAGAAAACAGGUAUGUAUCACUAGUCCGACAAGAAUUGUAAUUUUUUCGUUUUUCUAUUUGUAAAAUAAGAUACAGUGAAAAAAUCUUUUUUAAAAUUUAAAUAACUUUAUUUUUUAGUAAUCUAGGUACAAAAAUUUGUGUAUUUAUAUAUAUAUAUAUAUAUAUAUAUUAAUUUCUUUAUAUAUAUAUAUAUAUAUAUAUAUAUAUAUAAAGAAAUUAAUCUUCAUCAGAUUCAUCUGAUAAAUGUUCGCUACUAACAUCGUUAUCAUCUUCAUCUGUUUCACUUUCUUCACUCGUGAUAUCUGACUCUGUAAUAACAUGAAAAAAUUAAGUAAAUUAUAUAAUAAUGAAUAAUCAAUCAAUACAUAAAAAUAGUAUUAAUAGGUUACCUUGUAAGUCAGAAGAUAAUUUUUCAAAUGAUGGACUUUGGGGACCAUCAAACCAAUAAUAUUCAUAUUUACCAUCAAUUAUUGUCCAUCCAAAAUUUUCUGGCAAUUUUUCCGUGGGGCACCGCAUGUGUGCAUUACACCAUAUAUUGCAGAUGAAUACAGUUCGUUUAAUUUGUUGCAACAAUUCUUGUUUUGUUGGUGGCAAACUGGAAGGAUCAUAUCCUACGAUUUUUUGUUUUAAAAUUUUUUCAUUGUCAUUUUUUGAUUUAUACCCUUUUUCAAAUAACUCAUACCGUCCUUUAUUCAGAUCAUUUUUUGUUUUUAAUGAAUACAUUCUGCAUACAUACUCUUCAAUAAUUUGAACUACCUCAUUCGAUGUUGUUAAUUCCGUAUUUUUAAUUCGUAGAAGUUGAAUAAAUGCCUCUUGAAAAUUUUCAUUUUUCUUUAAAAUACUGAAAGGUUUCUUUUUUCCUUUACGAAAGAAAGCAGGAUUGUAAUCAUUCCCUGUAAAAAUAUGGCAUAUGGCGAGUGAACAAGAUAAUUGAUCUCCAAGCUUGGCAUAAAUUUCAUUUAUGUUUAAGUACAUUUUUUUUUUAUUCGUGCUUAAAUUAAUUAUUAUUUGAAUUUUAUCUUUUAAAUGCUUAAAAUUUGCCAACAUUAUUAUUGGUAUAUCAGAAUCUGUACAAUGUAUCUCCACACGAUAGUUAGUAUUAAAUUGACAAAUGUGGUAUACUAUUUUGGUAUCAGCUUCUUCAUGAUAACAAGAGAAAUUAUAGUCAAUGACUCUUUUUAUUUUAUUUUCACUAGACACCUCAUAAAUGUAACAUUGAUCAUAAUUAAGUUUAAUAGUCUUUCCUGUGAUCAAAGUAAUAAAUUCGUCCCUUGUCCAAUCUUCAAUUAAAAAUUUUACAAAUUUUUCUUUAAAAUUGUUGCUCCUCAAUAAUUUGCAGAAAUCUGAAGGACGAUUAUUGUCUUUACGUAUUACGUCAUAUUGUAUGUCAUCUUCACCUCUCAGAUUAUGUUCAAAAUCUUUAAUACUGGGAUUUUUGUAUUUGUCAAAUAUAAUAUGUACUUCUUUUCUAUUAUAUGUAAGUAUUUUUAAUAUAUGCAUUGAGAUUUUACCAUAUCUGUUUGGAAGGUUCUUCAAUGUAUGUAAUAAAUAAAAUCCAUCAACUAAGUGAAUAUCUGCUUCUGGAGGAUUUACUAUUUCAGUUUGAUAUUCUAGUAAUUCAUUAAUAAUUACAGAUUUUGGGGUCUUGCAAAUUGUUCCAUUAGUAUGACAGAGUGAAAAUGGAAUAGGAGCUAGAGGAUAACUUAAUGCUUUUUCUAAAUCAAUUUUAUUUUUUAGUGACACAUAAAGUAGACGACCAAAAACAUCUCUUUGCAUUUGAACUUCUUUCACUUUUCCAUUAAUUUUGACUUUUUGCGUAUUCUUGUACUCAAAAUUAAUUAUUUUAUUUCUGGUAAUGGCUUUAUCAAACCUAUCUGGUGUUACUCGAGACUCAGCAAUGAAAUUCUUAUUUUGUUUUUCGCCCUCAAUUUCAACUGAUGAUAAAAAGUUAUAUACUUCAUCGUUCACCGACUGACCUUUCGAUAUAUUGUAAAGAUGAUCUUCUGACAGUUCUAAUCCAAAAGGGUUGGUGUACUGCUUUAUUAGUUGCAUUAGUACUUGUAAGUUUUUGGUAGAUUUAUUAAUUGUUGAUUUCUUUAAAUCUUUCGUAAUAUCAUCUGUUGAUUUCAUAUUACAAAAUUCCAUCACUUUAGAUAUAACACUUGUACGUAGUGAGUGAGUAAUUGACCAUUUUUGUCUUGCAGAGAACGAGUUUGUAAUGUUUACAAUUCCAGAAGCUUUAGAAGCAGCAUCAGCAUUGAUUGUUUGUUCAAGUGUUAAAUCAACUGGGAUUCUUGAAAACGGUUUUAUUGUUCUUCGAAUGCCCAUAAAACUCUUUUGACAAUCAUCAAGCAAUCCGGGAUGUGUAGUUUCAAUAUUUAUCAACUUAUCCCAAUAAAUAGACAUAUACCUUGCAUAAUUAUGGUGAUUCAUUGAAAAAAAAACAUUUGUUAUUUUCGGUAAAGUGUCUACAAACAAAUUGAAGUCACCUAUACGAAUACUAUAUUCUAAUUGAAGAUAAUAUUCAACUAAUCUUGUGUACAUUAAAUAAAUUUGAGGUGUUUUACCAUGCCUUCCAUUUAAAGUUUCAUUUUUAUAUUCUUCAUAUUUGUUAAAUAAUUUUUUUAAAUUCUCAUUGGUUAUUUGUGGGUCAUCAUUCUGUUGUUCAUUAAAUAUUUUUAAGUAUUCUUUAAUAUUUUCCAGGUCCUGAUCAUGCUGCUGUAAAAACCUUUCCAAAUGUAAAUUCUGCAAAGCAAGAGAGAGUAAAGGAUGAAUUUUUCUGCAUCGAUUAAAGUGUUUUCCACUUAAAAACGAACUGAUAGAACCACUGGCCAAAAUUUCGCUAUCUAUAAGAAUAUUUGUUAACCCAGAUCCACUUAUAAAUUUCCCGAUAGCUUUCAUGAAUGAUAACAUUAUGUGGAAAGGUCCAAAAUUAAUAAAAAGUUUUUCGAAUUCAUCCUCCGCACUCUGUAUCCGUAAAGCAAUCUUGGCCAUGGCUAAAUCGUGACGCUACACUACUACGCCAAAAUUCUGGACGUCGUUGCUUCGCGUACAGUAUAUUUUCAAAUGACUGUUCCUCAAACGAACGUUUUCUACGGCCAGCCAAAUCACGAACAUUACUUGAAGAAUUCCGUUCAGCUUCUGUAGAUGCAUCGUUCCUUUUGAUGAUGUUCAAUUCUUCUUCUGUAGGGAUAUUUUGAUAAAUGAUACCCACUGUAUCAUGUAAGGUAUUUUUACCAGAGCUUGUCUCUACAUAUCUGUCGUAAUUAUCCCACGCUACUCCAGAUGAUAAUAUAGAAGUUCGUUGAAUGCUUGUUGGACAUAAUUGAUUAUUAGAAACACAACAGUAUGCAGCAGACGUCUCCAAUUCCAGUAUACUUGGAUAGGUGAUGCAGUAUCCUUGCCUGCUUAAUAUAUCCACGACUUUUUUGCUUCCUGUGAGACUUUUUAUGGUUAUACCCAAUAAAAUAUGCUUUCGCGGUUUAAUAUAACCUCUUGUAAUGCUGUAGAUAGAGUCCUGCGAAAAAGAUGAAGACAAUCUCCGAACCCGAUCGCAGCUUUCUUUGCCAAUACCGCUUAAAGCAGUAGUCCAAAAUAUAUCUAACCAUUUUGGAACAUCGCACUCUCCUUCAUUUAAUACUUCACUGUCGAUGAAAUCUGUUAAAGGUUUUUUUUUUAUUCCCAAUAUAUUUUUUCGAUAUUUCAAGGCGAAAUCUUUUGCUUCUUGUUCAAAUAAUAUAUCAUUAAUUUCUUCAUCAUCGAUUGUUUCAAUAUCGAUUUCAGAUGAUAUAAAAAAUUGUUGAUUUGAAAUAUUGACCAAUGAUAUUUUGUGUUUUAAUUGAGUUUGUAUAUAGUCCUUGAGAGCUUGAUUGCUAAAUGUGGUAGCUUCUAAAUUUGCGUGUUCAUAAAUUUCUUUUACAAAUUCAGCAUAACAAUAUUUCAAGUGAGCUAAUGACAUCACUCGUCGAUUUGUAAUAACUUCUUGCUGAAUAUAAUUAAUCAAGCGUUCUCUGGCAAUUUUAUGGCCAUCUCGUUUCGUGGCCCAAUCAUUAGUUGGAGGUGGAUUCAUUUUCCUUUGGUAUUUGGCAAAAUAAUUGACAUUACAUAUAUUAUGAUACGCCAAAAAAGUAUCGUUAACAGAGUUAUUUUCUUCUUGAAUUUUCCGUAACAUUUCUAUAUCGCCCAGUUCUGUAGAAUAAUUUUUAAUUUUUUCUAGAAAGGAUAUUUUGUUUUUAAUUUUACGACAGUAUAUUUGUCGCCCUUUACGUUUUUUAUUGACUUUUUGACAAAAAAAGCAUUUCUUUGCUAACUCAUCAUCUCCAAAACUUUGUACUUCCGUUUCACAAUCUACAUUGUCCUCCUCAACAGUAUUCUCCAAAUCUUCAAUAUUACUGGUUUCAUCAUUAAUUAAUAUCGAACUCUGGUCAAUAUUUCUGUAAAUAAUAACGUGCAAAACAAUUUUAUAAUUAAAAAAUAAAUAAAUAAUUUCAAGAAGC